GGCCUUAUCGUCUAGCGGUUAGGACGGCGCCCUCUCACGGCGCAAACUCGGGUUCGAGUCCCGAUAAGGUCACCA
rnacentral:tRNA from 2 species